rnacentral:snoRNA from 1 species
GAGCGAUGAUGUAAAUCAAUAUUGUCCUGAAGUAUAUUUGAAAUAUAUUUCAUGAUGUUUCUACACUUGAACUGAGCUCA